rnacentral:rRNA from 1 species
GAUGAACGCUGGCGGCGUGCCUAAUACAUGCAAGUCGAGCGAACGGACGAGAAGCUUGCUUCUCUGAUGUUAGCGGCGGACGGGUGAGUAACACGUGGAUAACCUACCUAUAAGACUGGGAUAACUUCGGGAAACCGGAGCUAAUACCGCAUAAUAUUUUGAACCUCAUUGUUCAUGAGGGAAAGACGUUUUUUCUGUCACUUAUAGAUUGAUCCGCGCUUCAUUAGCUAGUUGGGAAGGUAACGGCUUACCAAGGCAACGAUGCAUAGCCGACCUGAGAGGGAGGUUGGGCAGACUGGAACUGAGACAGGGCGGAGACUCCUAGGGGAGGACGCGGUAGAGAAUCCUACGGGAGGGGGGAGAGGGUGACAGAGCAAAAUGGGGGAAGUGAUGAAGGUGCUCGGAUCGGAAAAGUAAGUUAUUAGGGAAGAACAAAUGUGUAAGUAACAGUGCAGAUAUUGACGGUACCUAAUAAGAAAGCCACGGCUAACUACGUG